CCCCUCUCAGGGUCGCAGCUGGAGAGUUUCCAGUGCUCUACCAGUCUAGGCUCUGGGAGGGAGAGUCAAGCAGAGGCCUACCCGUUCCAUUCCUAGCUUGGGCAGUGGCUAGCAAGUGGAAGACAAUCUGUUACAAGU
rnacentral:snoRNA from 1 species